rnacentral:rRNA from 1 species
AACAACAAAACUACUCGCCAGAAUACUACGAGCAACGGCUUAAAACUCAAAGGACUUGACGGUGCUUUACACCCCCCUAGAGGAGCCUGUUCCAUAAUCGAUAAACCCCGAUCCACCCCACCCUCUCUUGCUCAGCCUAUAUACCGCCAUCUUCAGCAAACCCUGAUAAAGAUUACAAAGUGAGCGCAAACGCCUCCCCGCAAAAACGUUAGGUCAAGGUGUAGCCCAUGAGACGGUAAAAAAUGGGCUACAUUUUCUGUAUCAGAAAACCCCCACGAAAACUCUCAUGAAAUUUGAGAGUCCAAGGAGGAUUUAGCAGUAAAUUAAGAA